rnacentral:rRNA from 1 species
GACGAACGCUGGCGGCGUGCUUAACACAUGCCAGUCGAACGGAAACUCCCUGCUUUUGUGGGGUGCUCUACUUGCGACCGGGUGAGUUACCCUUGAGUAACCUGCCCUUGACUUUGGGGUAACUUCAUGACACUGGGGCUCAUACCGCAUAGGAGCUCCUGCUUCUUGGUGGGGCUUGGAUAGUUUCGCCGGUUGGGGAUGUACUCGCGUCUUAUCAGCUUGUUGGUGGGGUAGUGGCUUACCAAGGCUAUGACGGGUAGCCGUCCUGAGAGGGUGACCGGCAACAUUAGGAAUGAGAUGCGGCACAGACUCCUACGGGAGGGAGCAGUGGAGAAUGGUACAGAGGGGGAGGAGGAAAGGUGGAGCAAAGCCGUGUGGGGGAAGACGGACUUCGGGUAGUAAACCGCUUUCGCCUGUGACGGAGCGAGAGUGACGGUAACGGGUGAAGAAGCACCGGCUAACUACGUG